ensembl:lncRNA ARRDC3-AS1 ARRDC3 antisense RNA 1
CAUCUGGCUCGGGCCACUCUGACACCUUUAGUUUCGGCAAGGGAUAUUGGGGUGGCGAAGGGGAGGCGGGGGCCCGAAGGCUUCGGAAAACGAUGGGGGAGGGGGCAGAGGAUACCCGUCGAAGCCCCCCCCUCCCCCAACAUUUCGAUAUUGGAAUCACUUUCCUUCUUCCUCGGGCCAGCCUUUGCUCUGUCCCCUCAGGUCAACUCAAGGUAGACAGUGUGGCGACUGGAGAGGUCGGGGAACAAGCUUUGUUUCAGCUAAGGGGAAAACAAGCGUUCACAGGAGUCCCCUGACACCUCCCACUCGGAAGAUAGCUAACGGGGGUCCUGCCAACCCUUCCCAUCCAACUUCCAUCUGAAAAGGAUUUUCUGCUAAAGUUGGGUCCAUGGCCAUCCAGCACCUGUAAGGCCGGCAGGAGCGUCUGCCCUCUACUCAGUUAAAGCCUGAAGUCGUUUCCUUUCGAUGGCCCUUAGGAGGCCCAAAAGAGGGGCGACAGAACAUGAUGUUGACACGGGCUGGGCGCCCCCAGAAGCCCGGGAACAAACGUUUCUACUUUCCAGGUCCACUGGUGUUUGGUGUACCCAUGUGACUAAUUUGUCCAAAGAGAGGUCUCAGCUGAAAUGAAACCUCCUCAGAAAAAUUUGUUCCUGACAAAUUAUAACUCAAAAAUCAAAAAUUUCUAAGGCCUUUGUUAUUCUCUUUAUCACAGCAUUGUACUCAUUUUCUUCUUAGUACUUAGAAACGUCUAUAAUUGUUUUACUUCUUUGUUUACCAUUAAAUGUCUGUAUCCUUUAUA